AGGCGGCCCGCAGACCUGCCCGUCGCCCUGGCCCCCACUGCAGGGAGAGGGCCAAGCCCUGUCCCACACAGAAGGGAGCUCAGCAGUGUGUCAGUAAUCUGUCCCCUAGAUGCCCCACGGGGCGACACCACCCUGGUCCUGCCUCUGGGCUAUUCCGUCUGCAGCCCCUCAACCUCUGCCGACCUCGGCCCUAGACCCCCAGACCCACCCAGCCCCCCACACCCAGCUUGGGGCAGGGCCUGUCUCCAGCCAGGCCUCAGGGUGUCGGGGUGUCUGGAGGGCCGGGGUGGGGGCCGAGGCGCGGGACAGCUGGCCUGUGUCCCCACGCCGGGCCCGGGGCCCAGCCGGAGGGGCGGGGGCCUGGCCACUCAGGCCUUGGCUGGGGCCAGGAUUUUUGGCCGGGCUGCCGGGCCCUCCCUCCAGCUUCCUCUGCUGAGGGCUGUCCUGGCAGGGGCCCCCUCGCACUUUUCUGGCGGGAACACGGCCAGCAUGGAGAGAACAGCCACAGAGGGAAAGCGGGAAGGAGAUGGGGGAAAGUGUGUGUGUGUGUGUGUGUGUGUGUGCGCGCGCGUGUGUGUGCGCAGGAAAAAGGCCCGCAGUCCAGUCCGACCCAGCCUGGGAGGCUCUCGCUGGCCCUUUCGUAAUUGCCCCCUCCCAGGCCCCCUCCCCCAGCUCCCCCUCCACCGCCCGCCCUCUCUCCCUCCCUCCUUCCUCGCAGCAACGACCAGGCAGCAAUUACGCUUUGGGGAUAAAACGAGGCGCAGAGCGCGGCCAGGGCAUUCCUCCCCGAGAUGGCGGGUCUGACGGCGGCGGCCCCGCGGCCCGGAGUGCUGCUCCCGCUCCUGCUCUGCCUCCUCCGCCCCGCGCAGCCCGGAGGGGUCCCAGGGGCGGUUCCUGGUGCCAUCCCCGGAGGUGUUCCUGGAGGAGUCUUUUAUCCAGGGACUGGGCUCGGAGGCCUGGGAGGAGGAGGGCUGGGACCUGGAGGCAAACCACCUAAGCCAGGCGCUGGGCUGCUGGGGACAUUUGGGGUCGGUCCUGGCGGGCUCACUGGUGGUGGUGUCACAGCUGGGGCAGGAAUCGGGGCCUUUCCCGCAGGUACCUUCCCAGGGGCACUGGUGCCUGGUGGAGCGGCCGGGGCUGCUGCUGCUUAUAAGGCUGCCAAGGCUGGGGCCGGGCUUGGCGGCGUCGGCGGGCUUGGCGUUGGCGGCAUCGGAGGGCUUGGUGGCAUUGGUGGAGUUGGCGGCUUGGGAGUGUCUACAGGUGCUGUGGUGCCUCAGCCCGGAGCAGGAGUCGGAGUUGGAGCUGGAGUGAAGCCAGGCAAAGUGCCAGGCGUGGGGCUCCCAGGCGUGUACCCGGGCGGAGUGCUCCCCGGCGCAGGAGCUCGCUUCCCUGGAGUGGGGGUGCUCCCAGGGGUCCCCACUGGAACCGGAGUCAAGGCCAAGGCCCCAGGCGGCGGAGCUUUUGCCGGAAUCCCAGGGGUUGGGCCCUUUGGGGGCCAGCAGCCUGGGGUGCCCCUGGGGUACCCUAUCAAAGCACCCAAGCUGCCAGGUGGCUACGGACUGCCCUACACCAACGGCAAGCUGCCCUAUGGAGUGGCUGGUGCAGCGGGCAAAGCCGGCUACCCGACAGGGACAGGGGUUGGCCAGGCAGCAGCCGCGGCGGCGAAAGCAGCUAAGUUUGGUGCUGGAGGAGCAGGAGUCAUCCCUGGCAUUGGAGGGGGCGGCAUCCCUGGCGCGGCCGGCGCCAUCCCCGGGAUUGGGGGCAUCGCAGGGGUUGGGACUCCUGCAGCAGCUGCCGCUGCGAAGGCUGCCGCGAAGGCCGCCAAGUACGGAGCUGGUGCAGGCCUAGUGCCUGGUGGGCCAGGAGUUAGGGUCCCAGGUGUUGGGAUCCCAGGUGUCAGCCGCCCCGGUGUUGGUAUCCCAGGUGUUGGGAUUCCAGGUGUUGGGAUCCCAGGUGUCGGGAUUCCAGGUGUUGGGGUCCCAGGCAUUGCAGAUGGAGCAGGGCCUCUCGGGCCAGCUGCAGCUGCUAAAGCAGCGGCCAAAGCAGCUAAAUAUGGGGCCCGGGCCGGAGUGGGAGUCGGGGGCAUCCCCACCUUCGGGGUCGGGGUUGGGGCCGGAGGCUUUCCUGGCUUCGGAGUCGGACCCGGAGUCGGGGUCGGACCUGGAGUCGGAGUUGGAGUCGGAGGUGUCCCCACAGCUGGCCUUUCUCCUGCAGCCCAGGCCGCUGCCGCCGCCAAAGCUGCCAAGUAUGCAGGAGCUGGAGCCCUGGGAGGACUGGUGCCGGGUGCAGUGCCAGGCGUGCCAGGAGCAGUACCAGGUGCAGUACCAGGUGCAGUACCAGGAGCAGUACCAGGUGUAAUACCAGGAGCAGUACCAGGUGUGCCCGUCACCGGAGCGGUACCAGGAGCAGAUGCCGCAGCAGCUGCGGCCGCCAAAGCCGCCGCCAAAGCAGCCCAGUUCGGGGUAGGCCCCGGCAUCGGUGGGGUUCCAGGCGGUGUCGGCGUUGGUCCUGGUGGCCUCCUGCCUGGUGGCCUCCUGCCUGGUGGUAUCGGACCUGGCGGUAUUGCAGGAGCAGGGGUCCCAGCUGCAGCCAAGUCCGCUGCUAAAGCAGCUGCCAAAGCCCAGUACCGGGCCGCUGCUGGGCUGGGCGCUGGUGUCCCUGGCUUUGGAGUUGGUGCCGGAGUUCCUGGUUUCGGGGUUGGUGUCCCUGGUGCUGGAGUUGGUGUUGGUGUCCCUGGAUUCGGAGCUGGGGUCGUACCUGGAUCCCUGGCCGCAGCUAAAGCAGCUAAAUACAGAGCAGCAGGGGUCGGGGCCCUGGGAGGACCUGGCGUCCUGGGAGGAGUAGGUGUCCCUGGCGGUGUUGUAGGAGGCGUGCCCGCUGCCUCGGCCGCCGCUGCCAAAGCUGCCGCCAAAGCUGCCCAGUUCGGCCUGGGGGGCGUCGGUGGGCUUGGAGCUGGAGGACUGGGAGUUGGAGGCCUCGGAGUCGGAGGACUGGGACUUGGCGGACUCGGAGGUGUGUCUCCAGCUGCUGCUGCUAAAGCAGCCAAAUAUGGCGUGGCAGCCAGACCUGGCUUCGGAUUGUCCCCCAUUUACCCAGGUGGUGUUGGGGGCCUGGGAGUCGGUGGCGGGGCCUGCCUGGGGAAAUCCUGUGGCCGGAAGAGGAAGUGAGCUUCCGGGGGACCCCUGACUCUCGACCUCAUCUACGUUGGUGCUACUGCUUGGUGGAGAAUGUAGACCCUCUGAAACCCCACCCCACCCCACCCCCGCCCUGGAGGGGACGGCAGGCCGGCGGCCUUGGACACCCACAGACAGGACAAGGAAACAAGAGCGGGGUGGCCUCGGGCCCCAACGGGGGGCCCCUCUUUCAGACGCCACGGCUGGGUGGGCUGGGGCCCUCCCNNNNNNNNNNNNNNNNNNNNNNNNNNNNNNNNNNNNNNNNNNNNNNNNNNNNNNNNNNNNNNNNNNNNNNNNNNNNNNNNNNNNNNNNNNNNNNNNNNNNCUCCACCUCCGGGGAAAUUGGUGCUACACGCUGGUGCUUUCAUCUUCCUGGGGGAGGAGGAGGGAAGGGCAGCCUUGGGGAUCCCCCUCCCCAGGGCUUCUCUGAAGAUGGUGCCCACGCUUCCUGGGCAGUGCCACCUCCCCCUGCCCAUCAGGAGCCACCCUGGCUGCGGUCCAGUUGGUACCCAAGCGCCGGAAACCUAAAGCUGGAUUCGGUCACACUGACCCCCCCUCCCCCUCCCCAUGGCUGUUCCCCACACCCGAGGCCUCUUACAGUCCCCGGAUGAAGCCCCCGGGAAGACCCCACACAUACAACACUGGGAAUGGCCCCCCUUGCUCUUGAGGAGCCCGCCUGCCCGUCCAUCCAUCUAUCCAUCCGUCCGUCCUUCCGUUCUUGUCCCCCGUCAACUGCCCAGCGCCACUAGCUGGCUGGGCACACCUGUCGUGGCAGCCUGCGCCCCGCCUCCACCCCACCACACCCCGACGCUGGCCCAGGGUGUGAGAGGCCGUGUGGGCUGGGGGGACAGGACCCUGGUCCCCAGCCCCGAUCUCCCCACACGCAGUACUGUACCCCCGACCCUCCCCUGAGCCACGUAACUACAGAGCAUGUCUCACUCCCACCCCCAUCUCUUUGUGUCUCGCUGUGAUAGAUCAAUAAAUAUUUUAUUUUUUGUCCUGGAUAUUUUGGGAUGAUGUUUGCUUGUUGAUGUUUUUCUUUGGGUUUUAUUUUUGUGGUGCAUUGGAAAAAAAUUUUUUUUUUUCUUUUUGCUGAUCUGGGGAGCUAUACCCCAGUAGAAAUUUCAUUUUAAUCGCUCUGGUAUAACUCUGAAUGGAACACAUUUAAAAAAAAAAAAAAAAAAAAAAGGAAGAAUUAAUUGCUUCAGAAAAGACUAAUAAAUGAAAACCUUUUCAAGGAAACUGUCUUGGAUUUCUUUGUGUUUUUCCACCUGGCCUGGGGGGAGCUGCAGUGGGGGGACCUCGACCACCUCCCCCGCCCCACCAUGUGCUGGGGAGGCUGCUGACCCCAGGCAUCCCCUGUGGACAUCUAGGGCAUCCACCCUUCUCCAAGCUCUACUUGUCUUUAACAAUGACCUCCAUAACCUGGGUGUGAUGGUGCACCCCUGUAAUACCAACACUCAGGAGGCUGAGGCAGGAGGAUUGUGAUAAAUUCGAGGCCAGCGUGUACUACAUAACAAGAC
rnacentral:lncRNA from 1 species